rnacentral:rRNA from 1 species
UACGUAGGGUGCGAGCGUUGUCCGGAAUUAUUGGGCGUAAAGGGCUCGUAGGCGGUUUGUCACGUCGGGAGUGAAAACUCGGGGCUUAACCCCGAGCCUGCUUCCGAUACGGGCAGACUGGAGUUCGGCAGGGGAGACUGGAAUUCCUGGUGUAGCGGUGAAAUGCGCAGAUAUCAGGAGGAACACCGGUGGCGAAGGCGGGUCUCUGGGCCGAUACUGACGCUGAGGAGCGAAAGCGUGGGGAGCGAACAGG